rnacentral:piRNA from 1 species
ACAUAGUAUUUUAGAAAUGAACUUA